rnacentral:rRNA from 1 species
GCAUAUUAGUAGGCGGUGGAAGAUAAUCCAAAAGGGAUUCCUUCAGUAAUGGCGAAUGAACGGGGAAUAGCUCAGCAAAGAAAUCGAGGACUCUGGCCUUGAGUUGUGGACUUGAGAGGUAUCGCCAAUGGUGGCACAGGUGGGGGCCUCUUGGAAAAGGGCACCACAGAGGGUGUGAGUCCUGUUUGCCAUCUGUAGUCCGCCGUGUACGGCAUGCCUCCUCAGAGUCACGUUCCUUGGAAUUGGAGCGCGAAGGUGGUGGUGGCUUUCAUCUCAAGCUAAGUAUGGGUUCGAGACCGAUAGCAAACAAGUACCAUGAGGGAAAAUUGAAAAGAGCUUUGGAAAGAGAGUUAAAAGUGCCCGAACUUGCUGAUAGGGAAGCGAAGGGAGCUGACGUUGCUUGGUAACAUCUUCUACGCAAGACUAGGAUGGGUUCUGAUUGCAAUGUGUGUAGUGUUUCUUGCCGUGCGUGUCGAUGCCAAGCAAUGAGUGGGGAGAGCUCCAGGGACGUGAUUGUUUCUGUCUCCGGGUAGACGAAGGUGCCUGGUUGCAUCCAUUCGUGGGCUGAAAAAUUGGUGGCUGGUCGCAGCACUCCCUUGCCGCUCACGGCAAUUGGAGUGUAGCCCUGACAUGCAGACGAGGACAAAGUGCUUCUGUUCGACCCGUCUUGAA